rnacentral:rRNA from 1 species
UACGUAGGGGGCAAGCGUUGUCCGGAAUCAUUGGGCGUAAAGCGCGUGUAGGCGGUUCGGUAAGUCGGCUGUGAAAGUCCAGGGCUCAACCCUGGGAUGCCGGUCGAUACUGCCGGACUAGAGUUCGGAAGAGGCGAGUGGAAUUCCCGGUGUAGCGGUGAAAUGCGCAGAUAUCGGGAGGAACGCCAAUGGCGAAGGCAGCUCGCUGGGACGUUACUGACGCUGAGACGCGAAAGCGUGGGGAGCAAACAGG